rnacentral:misc_RNA from 1 species
GAUGAAGAACGUAGCUAAAUGCGAUAAGUAGUGUGAAUUGCAGAAUUCAGUGAAUCAUCGAAUCUUUGAACGCACAUUGCGCCCCUUGGUAUCCCGAGGGGCAUGCCUGUUCGAGCGUCAUUUCACCACUCAAGCCUGGCUUGGUGUUGGGCGACGUCCCCUUUGGGGACGCGCCUCGAAACGCUCGGCGGCGUGGCACCGGCUUUAAGCGUAGCAGAAUCUUCCGCUUUGGAAGUCGGGGCCCCGUCUGCCGGAAGACCUACUCGCAAGGUUGACCUCGGAUCAGGCAGGGAUACCCGCUGAACUUAAGCAUAUCAAUAAGCGGAGGA